GGGAAAAGCCACUAAGCUUCAGCUACACACGACCGUACCGCAAACCACACUGGUGCGCGAGAUGAGUAUUCUAAGGCGCUUGAGAGAACUCAGGAGAAGGAACUCGGCAAAUUGACACCGUAACUUCGGAAGAAGGUGUGCCCUAUUAGUGUGAAGUGAACAACGGAGCAUGAAUGGGUUGCAAAAAAUCGGUGGCUGCGACUGUUUAUUAAAAACACAGCACUCUGCAAACACGAAAGUGGACGUAUAGGGUGUGACGCCUGCCCGGUGCUGGAAGAUUAAAUGAUGGGGUGCAAGCUCUUGAUUGAAGUCCCAGUAAACGGCGGCCGUAACUAUAACGGUCCUAAGGUAGCGAAAUUCCUUGUCGGGUAAGUUCCGACCUGCACGAAUGGCGUAACGAUGGCCACACUGUCUCCUCCUGAGACUCAGCGAAGUUGAAAUGUUUGUGAUGAUGCAAUCUCCCCGCGGAAAGACGGAAAGACCCCAUGAACCUUUACUGUAGCUUUGUAUUGGACUUUGAACAGAUCUGUGUAGGAUAGGUGGGAGGCUUUGAAGCAGGGUCGCUAGAUCUUGUGGAGCCAACGUUGAAAUACCACCCUGGUGUGUUUGAGGUUCUAACCUAGGUCCAUUAUCUGGAUCGGGGACAGUGCAUGGUAGGCAGUUUGACUGGGGCGGUCUCCUCCCAAAGCGUAACGGAGGAGUUCGAAGGUACGCUAGUUACGGUCGGACAUUGUGACGAUAGUGCAAUGGCAUAAGCGUGCUUAACUGCGAGACUGACAAGUCGAGCAGAUGCGAAAGCAGGACAUAGUGAUCCGGUGGUUCUGUAUGGAAGGGCCAUCGCUCAACGGAUAAAAGGUACUCUGGGGAUAACAGGCUGAUACCGCCCAAGAGUUCAUAUCGACGGCGGCGUUUGGCACCUCGAUGUCGGCUCAUCUCAUCCUGGGGCUGUAGCCGGUCCCAAGGGUAUGGCUGUUCGCCAUUUAAAGAGGUACGUGAGCUGGGUUUAAAACGUCGUGAGACAGUUUGGUCCCUAUCUUCCGUGGGCGCUGCAGAUUUGAGGAAGCCUGCUCCUAGUACGAGAGGACCGGAGUGGACACACCUCUGGUGUAUCGGUUGUCACGCCAGUGGCAUUGCCGAGUAGCUAAGUGUGGAAGAGAUAACCGCUGAAAGCAUCUAAGCGGGAAACUCGUUUCAAGAUGAGAUCUGCCGGGGCCUCGAGCCCCCUGAAGAGUCGUUCUAGACCAGGACGUUGAUAGGUCGGGUGUGGAAGCGCAGUAAUGCGUUAAGCUAACCGAUACUAAUUGCUCGUGCGGCUUGACCCU
rnacentral:rRNA from 1 species